rnacentral:rRNA from 1 species
ACACAUGCAAGUCGAACGGAAAGGCCCUUUCGGGGGUACUCGAGUGGCGAACGGGUGAGUAACACGUGGGUGAUCUGCCCUGCACUUUGGGAUAAGCCUGGGAAACUGGGUCUAAUACCGAAUAUUUCCUUUUGGUCGCAUGGCUGGGAGGGGAAAGCUUUUGCGGUGUGGGAUGGGCCCGCGGCCUAUCAGCUUGUUGGUGAGGUUAUGGCUUACCAAGGCGACGACGGGUAGCCGGCCUGAGAGGGUGACCGGCCACACUGGGACUGAGAUACGGCCCAGACUCCUACGGGAGGCAGCAGUGGGGAAUAUUGCACAAUGGGCGCAAGCCUGAUGCAGCGACGCCGCGUGGGGGAUGACGGCCUUCGGGUUGUAAACCUCUUUCAAUAGGGACGAAGCGUAAGUGACGGUACCUAUAGAAGAAGGACCGGCCAACUACGUGCCAGCAGCCGCGGUAAUACGUAGGGUCCGAGCGUUGUCCGGAAUUACUGGGCGUAAAGAGCUCGUAGGUGGUGUGUCGCGUCGUCCGUGAAAACUCACAGCUUAACUGUGGGCGUGCGGGCGAUACGGGCAGACUUGAGUACUGCAGGGGAGACUGGAAUUCCUGGUGUAGCGGUGGAAUGCGCAGAUAUCAGGAGGAACACCGGUGGCGAAGGCGGGUCUCUGGGCAGUAACUGACGCUGAGGAGCGAAAGCGUGGGGAGCGAACAGGAUUAGAUACCCUGGUAGUCCACGCCGUAAACGGUGGGUACUAGGUGUGGGUUUCCUUCCUUGGGAUCCGUGCCGUAGCUAACGCAUUAAGUACCCCGCCUGGGGAGUACGGCCGCAAGGCUAAAACUCAAAGAAAUUGACGGGGGCCCGCACAAGCGGCGGAGCAUGUGGAUUAAUUCGAUGCAACGCGAAGAACCUUACCUGGGUUUGACAUGCACAGGACGAC